GCCGGGUGCGGUGGUGCGGGCCUGUAGUCCCAGCUACUCGGGAGGCUGAGGCUGGAGGAUCGCUUGAGCUCAGGAGCUCUGGGCUGCAGUGCGCUAUGCCGAUCGGGUGUCCUCACUAAGUUCGUCAUCAAUAUGGUGACCUCCCGGGAGCGGGGGACCACCAGGUUGCCUAAGGAGGGGUGAACUGGCCCAGGUCGGAAACGGAGCAGGUCAAAACUCCCGUGCUGAUCAGAAAUCUGCAUUUUACUGUGUGCCUCAGAUGACAUGGUUUAAUGUAGUCUUCAGAGUUAA
rnacentral:SRP_RNA from 1 species